rnacentral:rRNA from 1 species
GGUUGAUCCUGCCAGUAGUCAUACGCUUGUCUCAAAGAUUAAGCCAUGCAUGUCUAAGUAUAAACAACUUUGUACUGUGAAACUGCGAAUGGCUCAUUAUAUCAGUUAUAGUCUACUCGAUAGUACCUUACUACUUGGAUAACCGUAGUAAUUCUAGAGCUAAUACAUGCAUACAUACCCAACUGCUUGUCGGGCGGGUAGCAUUUAUUAGAUUGAAACCAAUGCAGCUUUCGGGCUGGUAUUGUGUUGAGUCAUAAUAACUGUGCGGAUCGCACUCUGUGCGAUAAAUCGAU